rnacentral:rRNA from 1 species
AUACGGAGGGUGCGAGCGUUAUUCGGAAUUACUGGGCGUAAAGCGCGUGCAGGCGGCCUGUCAAGUCUGAUGUGAAAGCCCUGGGCUUAACCCGGGAAGUGCAUUGGAUACUGAUAGGCUUGAGUACUGGAGAGGAUGGGGGAAUUCCCGGUGUAGAGGUGAAAUUCGUAGAGAUCGGGAGGAAUACCAGUGGCGAAGGCGCCCCCUGGGUUAACACUGACGCUCAUGUACGAAAGCGUGGGGAGC